GACAGAGGGUGCAAACGUUGUUCGGAAUUACUGGGCGUAAAGCGCGUGUAGGCGGCUAAGUAAGUCGGGCGUGAAAUCCCACGGCUCAACCGUGGAAGUGCACUCGAAACUGCAUAGCUAGAGUCCUGGAGAGGAAGGUGGAAUGCUUGGUGUAGAGGUGAAAUUCGUAGAUAUCAAGCGGAACACCGGUGGCGAAGGCGGCGACCUGGUCCAUUACUGACGCUGAGGCGCGACAGCGUGGGGAGCAAACAGG
rnacentral:rRNA from 1 species